rnacentral:rRNA from 1 species
AUGCAUCUGACGUGGAAGCCAUGGUUGCACUUGGGGAGGACCUUGACGUGCUCCCCGGCCUCGAAGUCCGAGAGGCAGAUGGUGCACAUCGGGCAGGCGGUGUUGAGCUUCAGCCCCGCGGAGUAG